CCUACGGGAGGCAGCAGUGAGGAAUAUUGGUCAAUGGACGAGAGUCUGAACCAGCGAAGUAGCGUGAAGGAUGACUGCCCUAUGGGUUGUAAACUUCUUUUAUAUGGGAGUAAAAUGUUCCACGUGUGGGAUUUUGUAUGUACCACUUGAAUAAGGCUCGGGAAACUCCGUGCCAGCAGCCGCGGUAAUCCGGGGGAUCCGAGCGUUAUCCGGUUUUAUGGGUGUAAAGGGAGCGUAGAUGGGUUGUUAAGUCAGGUGUGAAAGUUUGCGGCUUAACCGUGAAAUUGCAAUUGAGACUGGCAGCCUUGAGUACAGUUGAGGUAGGCGGAAUUCGUGGUGUAGCGGUGAAAUGCUUAGAUAUCACGAAGAACUCCGAUUGCGAAGGCAGCUUACUAAACUGCCACUGACAUUGAUGCUCGAAAGUGUGGGUAUCAAACAGGAUUAGAUACCCCAGUAGUC
rnacentral:rRNA from 1 species